rnacentral:lncRNA from 1 species
AGGGACUGGGAUGGACUGGGAUUGAACUGGGAUGGACUGGGAUGGACUGGGGGGGAACUGGGAUGAACUGGGAGGGAACUGGUUUAUACUGGGAUGAACUGGGAGGGACUGGGAGGGACUGGGAGGGAACUGGGAGGGAACUGGGAUGGACUGGGAUGGACUGGGAUGGAACUGGUUUAUACUGGGAUGAACUGGGAUGGACUGGGAUGGACUGGGAGGGAACUGGGAGGGAACUGGGAUGGACUGGGAUGAACUGGGAUGGACUGGGAUGAAACUGGUUUAUACUGGGAGGGAACUGGGAUUGAACUGGGAUGAACUGGGAGGGAACUGGGAAGGAACUGGUUCAUACUGGGAUGACCCAGGACCAAACUGGGAUGAACUGGGAGGGAACUGGGAGGGAACUGGUUUAUACUGGGAUGGAACUGGGAUGAACUGGGGUGGAACUGGGAGGGGGUUACUGGUCCAUACUGGUCCGUACUGGUCCGUACUGGUCUCACCUCCAGGAAGGGCUGCAGGCCCCGCCCACUUCCCAGAAUUCCCAGCACCUGCUCCCGGAAGCUCUCCUCGGCCACAGCCACCAGGGGGCGCCCUUGCAGCGUCUGGGGGCGGGGCCUGGAUCAGGACACGCCCCUUUCUUCCAUAUAUGGGAAGGGUGUGCUUGGCCACGCCCCCUUCUUUCAUAUGUGGGUGGUUUGGGCUAGCCACGCCCCUUUUUCCAUAUAUGGGGAGAGUGGAAUUCACCACGCCCCUUCUGGGAGGAGUUAAAGGGAGUCCAGGGCUCCCAGUAUGGGCCCGGUUCAUCCCAGUUCAAUCCCAGUUCAUCCCAGUUCAAUCCCAGUUCAUCCCAGUUCAAUCCCAGUUCAAUCCCAGUUCAUCCCAGUUCAUCCCAGUCCAUCCCAGUUCAUCCCAGUCCAUCCCAGUCCAUCCCAGUUCAUCCCAGUUCAUCCCAGUUCAUCCCAGUUCAAUCCCAGUUCAAUCCCAGUCCAUCCCAGUCCAUCCCAGUUCCAUCCCAGUCCAUCCCAGUCAAUCCCAGUUCAUCCCAGUUCAAUCCCAGUUCAAUCCCAGUUCAAUCCCAGUCCAUCCCAGUCCAUCCCAGUCCAUCCCAGUUCCCUCCCAGUUCAUCCCAGUUCAAUCCCAGUCCAUCCCAGUUCAAUCCCAGUUCAUCCCAGUCCAUCCCAGUUCAAUCCCAGUCCAUCCCAGUUCAAUCCCAGUUCAAUCCCAGUUCAGUUCAUCCCAGUCCAUCCCAGUCCAUCCCAGUUCA